rnacentral:rRNA from 1 species
AUGGCAAGAAAUGCAAGGGCAAAGAGGCAUGCGGCUCGUCGUCUCAGGGCCACGCCGUAUCCCAUUCCUUCAUACCGCUGGAAAGCAAUGAAAGGAGCCAACCGGAAGAAAGCACUGCCAACUGUGCAGAAGAUGGACUGGGAAGAUGCCAACUGCUCUGUAUGCAUGGAAUACCCACACAAUGCUGUGCUUCUCCUUUGUUCGUCUCAUGACAAGGGCUGCCGCCCUUACAUGUGUGGAACGAGCUACCGGCACUCAAAUUGCCUCGAUCAGUUCAAGAAGGCAUACACCAAGGGGGCAUUGCUUGAGGAACUGCCUGCCAGCACUGUUGGCAGUACCUUGGACUUUGUGCCAUUGACUGCAGUCGAGAAGACUGAGUCCAUUGACCUCGCAUGCCCAUUGUGUCGUGGCAAAGUGAAGGGGUGGACUGUGGUAGAACCUGCUCGAAGUUACCUGAAUGGGAAAAGGAGAACAUGCAUGCAGGAUGGCUGCUCGUUUGUGGGGACGUACAAGGAACUCCGCAAGCAUGUGAAGUUGGAGCACCCUCUUGUGCAGCCAAGGGAAGUGGAUCCUGCCGUGGAACAGAAGUGGAGAUCGCUCGAGUUUGAAAGAGAGAGGGAAGACGCACUCAGCACGGUCACUUCAUCAAUGGGGAGGGCAGUGGUUUGGGGUGACUAUGUGUUGGACCUGGAGGAUGGAGCGGACUUGGAGGACGAAGACAGCGACGACGACGAUCGUGGCAAUGACCGGGAGGCAGAUAACGCUCGGAGGUUGAUAAUAUUCAUGAUGCGUCAAGUUGCUCAGCGACAUCGAACGCAAAGUCUCCAGAGUCCAAGUGGCAUGCCUGGAAAUGCCGAGGAAGAUUAUGCGGUUAGCGGUGGUGGUGCCAACGAGACCACCCCAUACCCUUUCACCUCGGAGGGCGACGACGAGGAUGAUAUGGCUCUGGCCGGAGCGGGAGGCGCGGGUAUGCUUAGAUCAGACAGGCGUCGCCGGCGACGCCGUAGGAACCGUGGAAGACUGUUUUUAGAUUCUAAUUGA